rnacentral:rRNA from 1 species
GGUUUCAUCCGACCUAGUUCAUCUCCGUGGGCUUGCCCCGUCCUAUUCGUCAAGAAGAAGGAUGGUACGGACCGGAUGGUUGUAGAUUACCGACCUGUCAAUUUGGUCACAAUCAAGAACAAAUAUCCGCUUCCCAGGAUCAACGACCUGUAUGAUCAGCUCGCUGGAUCCUCAGUCUUCUCCAAGAUGGAUUUGAGGUUGGGUUACCAUCAAAUCAAAAUCAGAAACGGGGACAUUCCUAAAACGGCUUUUGUUACUCGUUAUGGCCAAUACGAGUACACCGUCAUGUCCUUCGGAUUAACCAACGCUCCAGCCACCUUUUCUCGGUUAAUGAACUCAAUCUUCAUGGAGUAUUUGGAUAAAUUCGUCGUGGUUUACCUCGAUGAUAUACUCAUCUACUCCAAGAACGAGGAAGAACAUGCCGAACAUCUAAGGCUAGUGUUGAAGAAACUUCGAGAGCAUCGC